GUGGGGAAUAUUGGGCAAUGGGCGAAAGCCUGACCCAGCAACGCCGCGUGAAGGAAGAAGGUUUUCGGAUUGUAAACUUCUGUCCUCAGGGAAGAAGGAAGUGACGGUACCUGAGGAGGAAGCCCCGGCUAACUACGUGCCAGCAGCCGCGGUAAUACGUAGGGGGCGAGCGUUGUCCGGAAUGACUGGGCGUAAAGGGCGCGUAGACGGCUGUCUAAGUCUGGAGUGAAAGUCCUGUUUUCAAGGCGGGAAUUGCUUUGGAGACUGGAUGGCUUGAGUGCGGAAGAGGUAAGUGGAAUUCCCAGUGUAGCGGUGAAAUGCGUAGAGAUUGGGAGGAACACCAGUGGCGAAGGCGACUUACUGGGCCGUAACUGACGUUGAAGCGCGAAAGCGUGGGGAGCGAACAGGAUUAGAUACCCGAGUAGUCC
rnacentral:rRNA from 1 species